rnacentral:lncRNA from 1 species
AUGUAUCUUAUGUCGAUGGAUACUAACCUUGUUAUUUCUCAUGCCGAUACCAUGGUUUCCAGAAUCGAUGACGUUGACGAUGACACCAUUCGAGUCGCUCUGAAUGUAGUUGUUCCCGAUAACUACAUUGCUGAUCCUGCCAUUGAUGACGUUGACGAUGACACCAUUCGAGUCGAUCUGAAUGUAGUUGUUCCCGAUAACUACAUUGCUGAUCCUGCCAUUGAUGACGUUGCCGCUCAUGACGAUAUGACCACGAUUGAUGCUGAUACCAUCCGAGCCGAUGCUACCAAUCCUGAUGCCGCCGUUUCUCUGGAUUCCGCCGUUGUGGUUGUUGCCGACGUUGACGAGACCAACCGAGUCGAUGGCGGCUCCGCUGAAGUCCUGUCCACCAUCGCCGUCGUGGUUGAAGCUGUCUGUGUGGCCGCCAGUGUUGAUCGUGGCGCCGCGGAAGUUCUGCUUCCCGGCGCCGAAGUUGUUGAAGCUGUUACUUGUGCCUUUUCCUGUCAUUCAACACCAGCAACAAAUCAGUCAGUUGAAAACCCUGCGUGCCGCGCAAAUUGAUCGCGCACAGUUGGUCGAGGCGAUAUGAUCGCAACACAAUACAGGGCCGGAUACAGGCGAUUUUUUUUUUUUUUUUUUUUACAAUCACUAUUUUCAAUUUUUCAGCUCAGCUAUUAAUCCAACCAGGUCCUCUAGGUGCCCGUGAAGUUUAAAAGACAGAUUAAGAAAGGCCCUACGACUGGAAUUUAGGGUGUAAUGCGGCCCCCUUAAAUGUUCGGAUAUUGGGCCCUCAAUGAAUGUUGGAAUCUGGGAACCUCAUACUGAAAUUUCGGUAAAAUGGAAUCUUCGUUUUGCUGGCCCUUAAUAAGACAAUUCCCAUGGACCCUUUGGAUAUACUAUUAGUAUAGUGAAUCCCUGAAUACUAAUGUUUCGGUGGGAUCCCGGGAGAAUGUUUCUUUAGGUGUCUCCGUAUACUUAUGUCUCCGUAUAAUUAUAAUGUAUACGACGGUGAAACUACCAAUCCAUGUAUCUCGGUUUGCGACGUCGCAGACUUCCUGUCAUACUUAAUUUUUUAAAUGAAAAACUACUUAACGUCCAGUCUUGAAAAUUUCUGUUGAUAUUGAUCUGGUCUUCUUCAAAAAAAUAAAAUGCGAGCGUAGAUUUUUAAACACCGCAAACGAGAUACGUGGUUUGGUAGUUUCACCGUCGGUAUGUACCUUUGGUCACUUCCGCGACGUGUUCAUCAUAGUCGUGAUCGUCGUGUUCAUGUUCCUCUUCCCAUCUAUCUUCUUCCUCGGCUACCUCGCGUUUGGCGUUGCUGAGGCCGGGCGGGGUUAUCCACGCGGCCGUAUUGAAAAGACUCCCGAAACUAUCGAAAAGGCCUCUGGCUUGAAGAGAUUGUUCACCAUUGGCUCCUGUCUUUUCCGGAUUCAGAUGGAGCAGUCCGAUCUUGAUUUUCUCCCUGGAGGACUCAGCGCAUACGAGCGCGGAAAACGGCGCCUAUAACACGAACCAUCGAAUAAUGGAUCUAUAACUGCUGAUACAGACUGUGCAACUUCUUUUGUCUUGGAGGAAAAACCCGAUUAUCCAUCAAUAGUUUCUAUAUUUUACUCGCUAAAAACUGUAAAUUUAAGACAAAAGUUACCAUCUAAAGUUCAUAGUUUUUCAAGAUUUUCGCAAUUUUAUUGCAAAGGAUGAAGUUGCACAAUCUUAGCAUCAUUGCAAUGCUAGUGGUUCCUGUUUGCAAAAUGCAACCCAUAUAAUCUAGGGAAGAGAUCCACCACUACGGUGCGCUGCCUCGCGAAUUACGCCUUUAAGAAGCAAAAACUGAUCCAUGAUGCGUAGCAGCAUUAAUACUGAGUAGAAUGACAUCAAAGGGUAACUUCAGUGUAAAUUUAUACCUGAAACUACGAUAAAGGACGUCGCCUACGGACUCAACGUGUAAGAGAGAGUAAUUAUAGCGCUAUCUCUCUCACAUGCACACAUCAUUGAGUCAAUGGGCGACGUCCGUUAUCGUAGUUUCAGGUAUUUUACAAUACAUUUUCAUUGAAGUUGGUGGCCUGAACCAAGAACUUUGAGGUUCCGUAUAAACUGAGGUUCAUCAGUCUACGUAGACGAAAUUUUUUCGUUGUGUUGAACUACAAAAAACUCACAUCUGUAGAUUAUAACAUGAAUACCCUUGCUAUUAAUUCUGUAAAUUAAGACUUACGUAACCGCAAUCGCUUGUCUACCUAUCAAAAAUUGGACAGCCAAUCAUAGAAGUUAUUUAAAACCGAGUUAUUGAACUACUCCAGACAUACAGUAAUAAUAACCAUUCCAAGAGAGUUUUUCUCAUCAUAAGUUCAUUCAAAGAGUUUUGAUCAAAUUGAAUAGUGAUCAAAGAACUAAAGUCGGUACUGAAUGCUACAAUCAGUUAAUUUGAAAAUCCCCUUCCCAAAUAAGUAUACCAAAAUCUAAGUAAUUGUAGGUCGGUUAAUGAAGAAAAAUAAUCUGUUCUAUGACGACAAAUACAUUUGAAGCACAGUACUGUAACCCUGUCAGGAAGGCUUCAAAACACUCAGAGAAUUGUUUAAUCCAUGGAACAUUUUGAAAUUAGUCUAUUUAGUUGCCAAUUUUUCAACGUGCAGCUAGUGUAUGCGUGUAUGGACGCAUAACGAUAAUUAUCUUACUUAAAAGUUGAAUUGGACAUUCUUGAAAUAAUCAUGAGGUUCAACGUGAACCUUUCAGGAGAAAAUAUGAAUCAUUAUGCGUGAGUUUUUACUCCGUCAAAUAUUUCAAUUCGGCUCUUAGGUUCCAGGAAUUUAGAAUUAUUUUACAACACACGCAAGAGGCGUGCCAUGUAGAAAAAUGAUAAUGCAUGAAAGAAAAAGCAACGUAAAACAUCUUGACUUUUCAGGAACCGAGAAGCACAUCUCACAGAACCAGGGAAGAUACGACACAAAACAGUAUCAACAACAAAUACAAAAAAAUUGAGUCUACAGUAAAAAUGGUCAUGCACUUAAAUCAGGAGGAACCCACAAGUAGGACAAUUCCAAUCAGCAAGACGGGAACAUGCGUCUCGAGAGCCGCCAUAUUUCAGGCUCAGUGAAAAACUAAAAAUCGCACGACCAACAUCAGCUUAUUUGUAGACUAAAGCUGCCUGAAUCAACUCCGAAUUGGCUGAUAGAUCAAGCUCCGUUAAAUCAUACUUUCCAGCAGGAGAGGUGCUUUAAUGUCACCCGAUCGAACCGUUAAUUUACUAAAAGAUCCUAACUCCAAAAAAUCACGGUUCCUGGUUUCGCCCAGCCAACACGGCUUCUUGAGCUCACGAGAAAAUGGUGCUUGGGUUCUUUUUUCAAAUAAACUGUUCGAUUGCGUGUGUACCUCAUACCUCGUGACCGUUUUUGCAGCACGAGCGCAAUAUCUAACCCUGACCGAUCUUGGUGACACAUCCAGGGAGCGACACGGAUUAAUGACAUUCGGAGCCAUUUGCGAUGCACGCUGGAAGGUUUUUUCUUCGAAUAGUCAUUUCAGCGGCGCAUCUAUCGUGGUGAAAAGACACUUUCGUGUUUUAAAGGUAGCCUUGAACAAUACAUGAACAUGCUAUGGAUUUAAGUGACGUUGUAGCUUCGUCGCUUUUCUCCCUAUCUUCUUAAACUAGAGGUUAUCCUUGAGGUGGCUCUCCGGCACUUUUGAGAGCGAUUUUUUUUACUUUAAAGUGGUAAAAAAGAUACUUGGAUUAGUUAAGUAGGUGGUAAUGUUCGAGAUUUUUUAAAGAAAAAUACGAUACGAAUAUACUUGUGUUUCUUUCAAUGAAUCCCUGAUAUUUCAUUCACAGGCGUUAGUACACAGGUUUGACCAAGAACUUGCUUAACCUUAGAUUUACCAACCGGUUCAAAAUAGGCCCGGCGCGGCGUCCCAUAAAAAUGUUCGUCAUUUUCCUAUCUUUCUACUUACAAUCUUUUGCCUCACUGAGUGAUCCACUCAAAACUGGAGUUCCAGCAAAACAGCAAAAACUGGAGACUUGUUCAGGACUACGUUACAAAAUCACGUCUUGGAGUCGAAGAGAGUAAUUGUGGACAAUUCAUAGCCGAAGAAUACCAAAUGGCGGUUUCCGCCAAUGCCACGAAAAGCAGAG